rnacentral:lncRNA from 1 species
GCCAAGCUCACAUUUCUGCACGAUUUAAGAUCACGAGUUCGAUCGGUCAUGGUGACUGAACUUGAGUGCUUCUUAGAGCUGUGAAUGUGUGUAAUCCAGUAAGUAUAUUACAUGGUACAGUUCAACCAAUUUACACAGUGAACGACAGUUCGUGGAUUCAAUUGGCCCAAUGGCUCCUAUCUUACGAAUCUUCUCUCACUAUGUAUAUGCGUAGCACAAUAAGUAGCAAAUUUAUGGAUGAUCACAAGCGACUAUGAAGCAACUGCAUAUAUCAACAUCAUGAAAGAGAAGGGGAAGCUUGUUCUCGGCAUGCAACGUGCUCUCCGACUUCCUUAGAUCUCCCUUCAUAGGAGAAGGAAGAUCGCAGGCGCUUAGAUCAAGAGAAGAACAAUUGGAGCGAUGGCGAGAAGCUCGAGGCAACUCGAAGAAGAAGAAGAUAACAGAGGAGAUGUACCUAAGCACGUGCCGGCGGUCUCGACAGCGUUGAUGUUGAUGCACAACCUCACUGAAGCGAGUCACCGCCGUCGACCGUCGUGAUGAGCACAAUCUCACUGUACUCGUCUCCUCCUCUUCGCUCGCUCUCCUUUUCGGUCCGUCACUGGCGGUGAGCGUACAUAUAGAGUUAGGCAACCGUGCAAGCGUGAGAUGGGACGACCACGGCGUAGAAUGUGGCUUCCUAAGGUAACACAUGACACACUCAACACGCAUCAUAAAGUGAGAUCAUGUUUGGCUAAGAGGAAGUGAUGUCGUACCUCAAUGGACUGGACUUGGAUUGCAUGAGGGUUGAUACGGUUCUGAUUCGAUCGAAUCAUAUUCGCAAGUAUUGGGUUGGAUCAAACUCAAGCAGCCCAGCCCAACCGAUUAUUCCAGAUAAUUUCGGGUACCGAUCUCUGCUAAGCGCUU